AUAUUAUGAUAUCCUUUUCCAUAAUGAAAUAUUUUUGUCUCACCUUAUAUGUAUUUAGCCACCCAUCCUUCUCUCAGUGUCUCUGUAAAUAUUGAAAAUAAAACAGGAUGUUUGAAGCAGUUUUUAAACUAUGCAUAUUGCAUAUAUUUAUGCAGAAAAUAGAGUGACUUCAGUAAUAACUGGCAGAGACACAUGUAUAAUGAGCAAACUUUAGUGGCAUAAUUUUCCACUUCAUUAUAUGUUUGUUUUUUUCUCUUCAGCUGAGGUAAUUUAAUGUCCAUUUUCUUCCUAUUGUUUGUCAACCUGUUUGUUUGUGUGAAGCACUAUAAAUACAGUCUCAGCAUGUUGCCAUAACAAUUGUUUUAUUUUCAUUCAUGUAGUAGAAGCUUGAUGAGAUUGUGAAACUACCACAUAAGCAGUUUGAAGGACAAGCAUCUGAGAUGUAUGACCACAGAUAAGAAUGGACUGAAGACUGAGUGGAGAAGAAUGGAGAAUGGACAAAGUCUCCACAGAUUGCCUGCACAUAGCUCUGGGAAGAUGAAACUCAUUUUGGUCAAGUUCCUCUGCCAGAGUCAAACUACUGACAUUUUGAAAAACUGUUCCUUUCAUGAGAUGUAAGAUGGACUCCUCCAUCUGUGUUUUGUAUCAAUGUCCUCUAAAGAUUGGAAGUAAGCCUUUUAUUACCAACUGGGCACAACACAUAUUUCAUGUAAAGGCAAAAACUAACUGAAUGUAUAGCCACCAUAAAAAAAUAAAAUAAAAUUCAGGAAAUAUCUUCA
rnacentral:lncRNA from 1 species